GAGCAUGUCAGUCUUUUUGAGGAUUGAACAGAGUCUCCAUAGCAGACAGGACAUUAAAUUCGGUGACCGUGCUAUGAAAAUAUGCAAAGGUAAGAAGAGACCAUUCCUAUUCCUAGUUCUUUGCAUUGCUCUGAGAAGGAGCCCAGUGUGGAGAGUGUGAGCAUGCCUGGGUUAUGAGAAGUUCAGUGUAAAUAAAACUAAAGGAAAGUAAGGAGUGGAAAAUUCCAUAUCUAAAGACUUGUCAUGAGUUUGCAAUUCGGUUUUUGCUUGCUUCCUUUUUGUUUUAUUAAUCUGAGAAAAAAGUUACCCAUUCUUUAAGGCUCAGGAGCAUUGCUUUAGCAUCACUAACACAGUUCACACUGCGGAGGUCUGCAUAUACUCAUUCAUGAUUUAUUUGAGCUGAUUUCUUAGAAAGACAAAGGAAAUAUGCAAUAAGGAGAUCUAAAACAUGCCUUUAGUUAAAACAGACGGAAAUCACAUGUGAUCUUAUUUGUUCUCAGAAACACACACACACAAAUGUAGUCAAACACUUCAGUUAACGAUCUUCUCUUCUCUGCUCCAGCAAUAAAAGAAAAAAAAACUCUAUACAUUUCUAUGAAAAUUUCAAAAAAGAGAAGCUAUUGUUCUUUUGUUUUUAAUUGUUUAGAGAUAUUUUAGAGUCUUUUAUAAAGAUGAUUAGUAUUACAUUAAUUUUAGUACCUAAGUGGAAGUCAUAUAGUUCUGAAAGGAACUCCCAGAUAGUGAGUAUAUAGUUCAUAGCUACAUAGAUAUACAGGCAUUCAAUAAUGUCUAAGCUUUUAAGUACAUAAGUCAGAACACAAACAUGAACAAUAUCACAUCAGAAUGAUAUUUAAUAUUACAGAAAAAGCAUAGAACAAAACUUGAAGAAAUAUGUUUACAUUUUUAUUUACAUAAAAAAUUAAUAGCUGGGCUUAAAUAUGACAAUAUUUAUAAAUGAGAAUAGUUGAACCCAACACUAACAUGAAAUUAGUAAAAGUGCUAAAAAAUUACUAGCUAAAAAUAUAUAGACUGUGAUGGUCAAAGCCUACUUAUACCACAGGAGUGCUCCAAUGCCAGAAUGAAGUUGGCUAAGAGGAGGCAGAAAAGAGAUUGUAUAUUGCAAGUCUUUUGCCCAGGCUGUGACCGACACUGAAAAAAGACAUGCCAACAGAAUAGAUAGGUGUAAAAUGCACUAGAAGUGAAUUUUCCAUAGCUCUAAUCAUGUAAUGUUUCUGUAUCAGGACACUAAAUUCAUGGAAUAAGAUUGGAGUGUCCUAUCCUUCUUUCUUUUUAACAUUCAUUUGCAAAUGAUUGGUAUAGUUUUCUUUAAAUACUGAAAUGAGUUGACUGUUGAAGCACCCUGAGCCUGAGGUUCACUUGCUGGCGAGGUUUUUGACUAUUGCUUCCAUUCCUUCACUUGUUAUAUAACCAUUCAUAUUUUAGAUUCUUUUAUGGUAAUUAUUCUUGGGUAGCUUUCCCCAAUUUAUAUCUUUCUACUGUUUGUUUUCAUUUCUUUUAAUUGUAUAAACUGGUUCUCUAUUUGACUUUAAGUGCUUAUAGUCCCUGUAGAGUUGAUACGGAUGUCUUCUUGUUUCAUAAAAGGUUCGGAAAUUUUGAUGACAACAGUGAUGGCUGAGGUAGAAUGUGGAUGUAGUAAUGAAAACAUCAACUGAGAGUUCUAGAUGGUAGGCCUUCCUUCCCUGAAGGAGGAGUAGUUACAUGAUCAGUAGUAGGUAAGGACUGGGGACAUGUCUCAAGGAAAGACUCUCCUCUUAUACAAUUGCCUUUAGGCAAAAGGAGGAGGAGGAAGAGGAAGAGGAGGAGGAGGAGGACAAAUAUAUUUUAUUUGGGGCUCAAAUAGACCUUCAUAGCUUAUAGAAUAUGAUCCUAAAUGUAUUGUCAUUCCCCACAUUCCAUAUUUUACUAUUAAUUUCAUUUUAAACAUAUUUUAUGUUUUAUGGGUAUUUUACAAGGAUGUAUGUCUGUGUGUGUUCUAUAUGUGUGUCUACUGCUCACCGAGUCCAAAAAAGGAUGUCAGAUCACCUGGAACUGGAGUUUUAGAUGUUUGUGAGCUGCCACGCAGAUGCUGGUAAUAAAACUCAUGUCCUUACAGGACCAAAACCAGUAAGUGCUCUUAACUGAUGAGACAUCUCUCUAGCCUCUUAUAAGAAGUGAAGAAAUGCCUCUUAUUUGUUUGUGGCAAUCCUAGAAAUAAAUGUUAUCUGGUACCUCCAAAAUGCAUUGCUAAACUUUGAGUGUUUAUUCAGAUCCAGUUUAAUACACACACACACACACACACACACAUACACACACACACACUGACAGAGAUAUAUUCCUAUUUGUCUUUCCCAUGCUUUUAUUGGUUGAUAGAGAACAAAAGAAUAUCAAACAAAUGUGUUUACAUAUCACAGGGGACUUGAUCUGUGCAUAAAAACAAAAUAACAACAAAAGCCCUUACAUAUAGAACAUACAAUCAAAAAAGACUUUAUUUUGAACCAACAGCAUGAAUACUCUUGAGACUUCAUUGCAUGCCACUAGUUUCUAUGCACUAGUCAAUAAAAUUGAUAUGAGAGAAGACCCACGUCAUAGCAGAGAUUCUGAAUACAAAGACUGCUAAUGGUUAACUGUUGCUGUUAAUUGCAGGGGGCAAGAAAAUGUUGUCCCUUUGCUCCACUACAAUGGCCUGAAACAUUCUGUUUGGUUUUCUUUCUUUCUUUUUUUUUAUUACGUAUUUUCUUCAAUUACAUUUCCAAUGCUAUCCCAAAAGUCCCCCCCCCCCCACUCUCCUACCCACCCACUCCCAUUUUUUGGCCCUGGUGUUCCCCUGUACUGGGGCAUAUAAAGUUUGCCUGACCAAUGGGCCUCUCUUUCCAGUGAUGGCCGACUAGGUCAUCUUUUGAUACAUAUGCAGCUAGAGUCAAGAGCUCUGGGGUACUGGUUAGUUCAUAAUGUCUGUUUGGUUUUCUAAGAAAGGCCACCAUUUGUAGGUCUGGGCUUUGGCUGAAGCCAAGGUCAUGAAAAUCAGUAGGGUGCCAGUAAUACACACAUUCAACUUAUACUGGUGCCCACUGUAUGAACAGUCUACAUUUUAAGUAGCAAGCAUUGCUACCCUGUGAUGGUUGGAUUUUCUGCAUUAUCAUGAAGACAUAUCCUCUGCUGUAUAGUUCCCACUUGUUUCGGGUAUUUUGUUUUUUUGUUUUUUUUGUUUUGUUUUGUCUUGUUUUGUUUUUCUUAAAAAAAACCAAUCGUUCCUCAUAUGCACAGUUACAAAGUGCCUUUGAUUCCACAUUGGCUUCAUUAUUGGAGUUAUAAGACAGAAAAAAUCACAUUCUAGAACAAAGAAAAUAUGUGGUUUCAGGUUAUAAAUGAAUAUUAUAUGUAUAUGUUUAUACGUACAUAUGUGUAUGUAUGGAGGAACAUAGAUACGUAGAUACAAAUGAUACAACUUCAUUCAGUGUUGUAGAUGUUCCAUGAUGAGAAUAGCACACCUUAUGUGAUGCACAUAUUUGAUGUAUAUCAUCUCCUCUUUGUUCUGCACUCUAAUUAAGGAUCUGGUCAGAGCAAAGCUUUUUUGUUCAGUUAGUGAAGCCAUACACCUUGAGCUGGCUGAGAAGGGUUGCAUGUAGUUAUCAAACAGUAUUUCCUUAGUGUCUUUAAUUCAGGGAAAAAAAAGUAAAACCAGAAGGAAGGGAAACAGAUUCUAAGAUGCUGAUUGAAUACAUUCCAGUGUGCAAUUGGCCUUUAUCAAGUCAAGACCCAUAAAAAGACUAGUCAGUAUAAGAAAAAGUAUUCCUAGUUAGAGGGGAGGCAGCUACACUGCAGCAUCCUGAACACAAGUGAAUUCAUCACAAUGCCAGGAGAGACAUUUAACUUCACAGAGCCUCGGUUCCUUUAUUUGCAACAGGGAAGGGAAGAACCAGGUGAUUUGUUAGGUUUAUCUGGGUUUCUUUCUAUGUCUAGAUAAUCAUCAUCAGCUACACAAUUACUUUCUACCUUAUCAUCUACUGCCCCACCUCCCUCUCCAAAGCACCUGAUAUUCAUGUCAUUGUGACUGAUGUAAUUCUAGGUGUUAUUCAUGACUGCAUAGAUCCCAGAGGAACACCAGGGAAUAUUUAGGAGGUCUCACAAAUACUCACCUAAGGGAAGUCAGAACACCCUCUCUCAACCACAGCAUGGCAGAGAGCAAAGCCAGACCAAGCUCCAACACACUGAUGAUCAGCAUCACUGAAAGGGCUCCCUAAAUUCAGGAAAAGAGAGGUCGGUGUGACUGAGUCAGCUGAAUCCCUCAUUCCUGGGUGGGAGGUGACUGUAGAGAUGAAACUAUCUCCACC
rnacentral:lncRNA from 1 species